rnacentral:lncRNA from 1 species
UGAUCUGUAUCUGUUCGACAAAAACCAUGGAAAACGAAUGUGUGCUUCGAAACUCAACUUUUAUUUAUUUCCCUUGCUUUUAUGCAAUGACGCCGACCAAGUCCUCCACCCAUCUCAGCCAUAAAAACUAGUGCGUGAAUUCUAUUUAUGAGGGAGUGACUGACUUCUAUCGUCAUUAGAGUUUCAAAUGAUUUUCAAGUACAUCGCAAACUUCCUAUCAAAGUGUUCGACCGUAGAAUUUGUCUACUAUAACUAUGUUAAACAUUUGUGAUUCAAAAUUAAACACAUUCAAUGAAAACGAAAACAUUAUCAACAAAAGUGUAUUAAACUAUGCAAUAUGUAUGCUUAUACAAUAAUGUGGCCAAGCUAAGUAAAAGGUAUUAUUAUUACCUGCAGUAUCUCCACAACCCAAGGGCCUUAUGGGAGAAAAAUGGUGAAGGCCAAUUUUUUCGCCUCUUGCAGUUAUCUGAAAAUGUGAAACAAAUUGAUUAUAACAAAAAACACAAGAGCUAAUAAAUUGCAUAGAUAGUGAAAGCCCUAGCUAGUGAUUGAUUUAUAGUACUCUAUUAUACAGCACUGUAAGGGGGUGUUUAAAGAAUGCGGGCUUGAUGUUUGAUGAAAUGCCACAGAGGAAGGAACAAGUGUUGACAUGACCGUCCGUGGAAAAUGAGGCUAUGGAGAAUUUCCGGUAAUUCCAUUUUCACUACAAC